GUAAGAGGAAGGGAAAAACAGAGAAAAGAUCAAUCUGACAUGGAACCUAUAAAGAUCAUUCAAUUGUGGGCGCCAAGAUCACUCUGGGAUCUCUUGUUUAAUCUUUUGAUAUCAAAGCGAGUAAUUAAUUAAUUGCAUCCUGUAGAAUUUUUUUCAUACUCCGCCAGUGACAAGAGUGUUUAAGAUUUCAGAGAUGUAGCAUCUCUCAGUAUCUAGAUAAAAUAUCCAGCUAAUCUCAGAAUAUGUUAUUCAUACAUGAAAACACUUUCAAAGGUCUGAAUCGGUGGGAAAUUUUUCUGUGCAUCAAAGCUUUAAAAUCCCUGUCAACAUUUUACCAGCAAUGAGAUUUGAUGUUAGAAUUUUUUCCAAACAUUUGGCUUGUCUUUUACCAUAUCCCUAUAAGUGAUAAUCUAUUUUGUGCCUUUUGUACAAUCCCCUGAUGAUAUUUUAUAUAUAUAUAUAUAUUGUAUUGUCCUCUUCUCUCCCAUACUGUAUUGCCCUCCUCGAUCUCUCCCAUACUGUAUUGCCCUCCUCUCUCCAAUACUGUAUUGUCCUCCUCUCUCCCAUACUGUAUUGCCCUCCCCUCUCCAAUACUGUGUCCCAGCUAGCAGACACACGUUGCAGAAACGUCAUAGAUGGUUGCAAGCGUUGCAGUUGCAUUUCAACGUUUCUACAACGUUCGUUUAACGUUACAUUUCUGUAAUGCCAAACGCAGUUUCUAAUGGUUAAACUGCAACGUACAAUAAACGUGAUUAAAACGCUGUCGUUUUUCCGUAAAUUUUCCAGUUCUUCAGUUGAAAGUUAAACGUUAAUGAAACGUUUGUCCAACGUGUAAUCUUUUAGCAUAGAAAUUCCAUGUUUUACGUUAAAACAUAACGUUUUUCAGACGUUGUUGAAACGAUUGUUUUCCCACUAAAAGUCGAAAUAUUAACCGUGUUAGUUGUAACGUCUACUUAACGUUUUCUUAACGUUGCAAAUCAAUACGAUUAUUUUGUUACAAAAGAUAAAAAGAAACGUUUCACAUGCGUUGUUAAAACGUGUCGUUUUCGAAAUAAGUAUUAUAUCUAACGUAUAUGUCCUACCCUGCAAUCGAGUUUUUUUUUAAAAUCAUACAAGGCAUCAAGAUAUAUAUUUAACAUCCUGACAAGAUGGGCAUAUAGGUAUGCAACUGAUUUAUGUUAUUUUUUUAUCAAAAUUAUUAAGUAUAAAUUUAACGUCUAUGCUACGUUUGGCCAACGUAACAUUUUUUGUGAUUUCUCCUGUAUUACUGGUGCCAGAUUAACGUUUUUCUAACGUUAAGGAAACGAUUUAUUCUCAAAAUAAACCGUUUUAAAAUGAUUUAAUUGUGUCGUCUUAAUUAAACUUGUAUAGUUUGCGUCGGUAAUUUUAUUUACAAUAGUCCUUCCGAUACAUAUAUUAUAUAUAUAUAUAUGGUCACGGAAGAUUAUAAAAAUAAUUCUAUAACGUAAUCCAGGAAUGGCAUUUACCACAUUUUCAGUGAAAUGAUAUCAUAAUCAUCAUAAAUGUUUUCCUUUCAAAAAGACUCUUUAGAGUUAAUUUUUUCCACAUUCCGUGUUGUUAUAUAUACGGCGUACAAAUAAUUGCUAUACUAGUACGUAUUAUCACCCGGACCAUCACAAACCAUCAAUGUAUUAGUGUAAGGUCCGGAGGCUGACCACAUGUGUGUCAGUGAUAUGUCGGUCAGCUGAUUAUAUAAGCUUUGGCCGCAAAUUCCCGCUCCUAAAAUUUCUUUGUCUACUCACUCCAUCUUUAACUGAGCAGUACACAGCGGACUCACGUACGUCACUAAAAGAACUCGGUAAGUACAUAUAAGUGUUUCAUUCAUAUUUUUGACAUCUAUCGGUUUGAGGAACAUAUUUAGCAUGAUGCUAAUUUUAACUUGUUAAUUAAUUCUACGUGCGGAUACUUCGUAAAAAGUUUACUAUAAUGUGUGAUGAGCUAGGUUGGUGUGGGUGUACACACGUGUUUUACCGUAGCUAUUCGAACUGUAAAUACUUAUACAUGUUCAUUAAAAUUGACUAUGCUAUAUCAAAUGCCAUACAAGUGUUUCGAAAUAUCCUUUCCGUGUAUUGAAUUAUUAAAAAUGCUACAAAACCAUUUCAAUAUACACGUACAAUUAAGGCACGUGACUUAGAUCAUGUGACUAAGCACAAAAUGGCAGCGCCCAUCAAAUGCAUACCUCACUUGUAUUCACAAAAUUGUACGAUCUAAUCAAUCAUAUUACCUUACAAAGAAUUCUUGAGUGUAAGUUGAUAAUCAUUCUAGACAACCUAUUAAAACGAUAGUUCCGGGUCUAUCCCUCUGAAUAAGAACGGGAACUAUAGAUUUUAUUUAUUUAAAAUGCGAAACAAAAAACAAAAA